rnacentral:rRNA from 1 species
AUUGAACGCUGGCGGCAGGCCUAACACAUGCAAGUCGAGCGAGCGGCGGACGGGUGAGUAAUGUCUGGGGAUCUGCCCGAUCGAGGGGGAUAACUACUGGAAACGGUGGCUAAUACCGCAUACUAUCGGAUGAACCCAUAUGGGAUUAGCUAGUAGGUGGGGUAACGGCUCACCCAGGCGACGAUCUCUAGCUGGUCUGAGAGGAUGAUCAGCAAAACUGAGCUUGAGACACGGCCCAGACUCCUACGGGAGGCAGCAGUGGGGAAUAUUGAAAAAGGGGGCCAAGCCUGAUGCAGCCAUGCCGCGUGUAUGAAGAAGGCCUUAGGGUUGUAAAGUACUUUCAGCGGGGAGGCGUUACCCGCAGAAGAAGCACCGGCUAACUCCGUGCCAGCAGCCGCGUAAUAC